rnacentral:rRNA from 1 species
UCGAGAAUCUUCGGCAAUGGGGGCAACCCUGACCGAGCGACGCCGCGUGCGAGAUGAAGGCCUUCGGGUUGUAAAUCGCUGUCAGUGGGGAGGAAAUAUUGGUGGGUUCUCCCAUCAGUUUGACCUAUCCGCAGAGGAAGGACGGGCUAGGUUCGUGCCAGCAGCCGCGGUAAGACGAACUGUCCAAACGUUAUUCGGAAUCACUGGGCUUAAAGGGGGCGUAGGCGGCUUGACAAGUUGGGUGUGAAAGCCCUCGGCUUAACCGAGGAAUUGCGUCCAAAACUGUUGGGCUUGAGGAAGACAGAGGUAAGCGGAACUUAGGGUGGAGCGGUGAAAUGCGUUGAUAUCCUAGGGAACACCAGUAGCGAAAGCGGCUUACUGGGUCUUUUCUGACGCUGAUGCACGAAAGCUAGGGGAGCGAAGA